UAACAAUUCUUAUAGUUGUUUCCGCUUCUGAUGCCAAUCAGUGCCUACAAAGAAUUGCGAAAAUAAUAUAUUUUCAUAGGACAUUCGAACUAGAACACAGAACUUCAUCAGAGUUAAUACAAAAAAGCGUCCAAAAUAAACAAAAGGAAGAAUUAAGGAUGUAAUUUACCAAAAUUAGAUAAAACGUAGACUAGCCACACAUCAGCAUUCUUUUAGAAAUAGAAACAGAAUUAACUUGACUGGAUUAAGUAAGUAUAUUUGGGAACUCAAAGAUAGUGAUAUUAGCUUCACAUCAGAAAGGGAGAUCCUUGCUACUGCACUUUCGUAUAGUGAAAAAAAAUAGGAAAUGUUAUCUUUGCAUUAAUGAAAUUUUUUUCAUUCUAACAGCACGAAAGACAUUAUUGAACCUGAGAGAGGAAAGAAUUUGUAGCUUACCUGCAUAAAGACAUUUGACUGCGGCCAUGCUAUCGUACUGCCUUUAGUCGAGCAAAUGAAGCCCAGGACUUAUUCUUUAACAUGGACUGCUUGUUUAUACCCAAGAAAUGGACUUGUUUACACCCAAGGAAUGGACUUGCUGUUUGUAGUCAAGAAAUGUGCAACACACACGUUAUAAUUACUUCUAUAACAUAACAAUUUAAAGGUAUGUUAAAGACAAUUUAUUUUGAUAACACAAAUUGUCUGCAUAAAGAAUUUUAAAAAUUGGAAAAGAGUGGCAAGUUUUGUAAAUAGGGGCAGGGUAAGGUUGAAUAUUUAAGAGAAUUUGCAGCGUGUAAGAUGUUAGUAAGCAAUUCCAAAACAACAAAAGCCGUUACUUUCACUGCAAAAUUUAAAUUUCGUUUGUGUCUAAAUAUUUUCGUUCUUUGAAACCAUGGCAAACCCCUGACAAAAACUCGUGCUUCAUCUAUUUUGUCAGUAAACAAGUCUCGGUUUCAAAGCAAUGAAAAUAUCGACAUUGAAAUGAGAUUUAAAUGUUGCAGUGAAACAACCAUUUCUCUUUGUGUGUGUGUGUGUUCUUGAUAUUCGUUCAGAGCAAGUUGUGUUACCUCUCUUACACUCUUUUUCUUUAGUUUUUUGGCUCCGGUGAGGCGUCUUGGAACAUUCACGAUGUGAAUGUUCCGAGUCCUCUCCCCACCCACUCCCGUUCGCAAGCACGCAUUUCUUUUUCAAAUUCGUUCACAGCAAGUUGUUUUACACCUAUUAUACUAAUUUUUUUUUGUUUUUGAGCUCGGGUCAAAAGCUUUAGUUUAACCAAAUUCAGUAUGUAUGUAUGUAUGUAUGUAUAUUUGUGUGUGUGUCUGUGGUUCUUCCCUAACCAUCGCUUGACAGCUGAUGUUGGUAUGUCUACGUCCUUGUAUCUUAGCAGUUAAGCAAAAGAUACCGAUAGAAUAAGAACUAGGCUUAUAAAGAAUAAGUCCUGAGAUCGAUUCGUUCAACUAAAGACGGUGCUCCAGCUUGGCCACAGUCAAAUGACUGAAACAAGUAAAAGAAUAUAUAUAUAUAUAUGUCUGUAGAUAUAUUUAUAUGUGUGUGUGUGUGUGUGUAUAUAUGUAUAUAUAUAUAUAACCCUAACCCUAACCCCACUCGUAUGCCCUCCCUCCUCAUCACCCACCUCAAUCCCCCUCCCACAGACACGAUCACACACGCAGACACUCCAAACCCCCACCCACCCCGUUUUAUCACAGCUUAUAAUACCAAAAACUCAAAGCUUAAAAAAGCCUUUAAAAGCAUUAAUAUUGUUUCACCAUUUGCUCAACCGACUGAUAUAAUCAUCCCCCUUCACAUAAAAUAUAUUUUUAUUGACAACCCAAGCUUAAUCGAAUUAGCUAAAACUUUAUCAAAGGACAUGAAUCCUCAAAACAGACUUUGGAAUUACACUAUAGCAUAAACUUAUUAGGACCCCACAAUCCAUGGAUAAGGAAGAGGUGGAGCCCCACUUUUAAGGUAGUAGCAGAUCUGAAGAAAAAGUUAAUAUGAGGAGUGUUGGUUCUGGAUUUUGAUCAAGGAAGGAUGUGGAGAAGGAGAAGAAGGAGAGGGAGAAGAAGGAGAAGAAGGAGAGGAAGAAGAAGAAGAAGGAGAGGAGAAGAGAAGAAGUAGAAGAAGGAGAGGAGAAGAGAAGAAGUAGAAGAAGGGGAGGAGAAGUAGAAGAAAAAGAAAAAGAUGGGAGUGGUAUGACAGUAUUAGACUGUUCAUGGCCUUCAAUGGUCAAAUGACCUAAAAGUGACCUGUUGUGGUUGUAGCAGUAGUGAUUGGAAUUAUGCUGAAUAAAUUGACUUUUCAUUGA